rnacentral:lncRNA from 1 species
AUUUUUUUCUAUCACAUGUUGUGUUGAAUGUGAUUUUUAUACACCUUUAAAUCUUCAACAUUUUCUUGUUUUCUACUUCAUUUGUUAAACGCAUCAUUACUUAAUGCACUUCUCUAUUGUUAUGGUAAUACUAUAUAUUAAAUAGUCGUCACUAAUCUGGAUAUUUCUCUGCAGAGACAGACUUGAGAAUGGCGGCUAAAGCAGUGUCUGGACUGGUUCUUUUGAUUGCUGUAACUGUAGUCUGUCAAGGUAUUUAUUGAACUUCAAAACUAACUAGACAAAUUUAAAAAUAAUAAUUUUCGGUGAUUAAAUUGGUUAAAAAAAUUGUAAAAUACCGAAAUAAAUUUCGCGUUUCAUUUGAGCAUUUCGAAAUAAGGUACUUUUCCUUAAGUUGCUCACUCAUAGAGUCAUUGUGACACUCAUAACGUUGUUAAAACUUACUAGAUUGUAAAUAUAGAAAAUUUUACAUUUUUUAAACACCAUACACAUAUUCAUAGAAUAAAAUGCUUUUCUCUGUUGCGUCAUGUUUUGAAUCAAUUAAAUGUUUAGAAUCUGCAGUCAAGCAGUAUGCACGCACGAUCUGAUUGUUCAAAUUUACAUUUCAAACUUAUACCCUUGAAAACACUGAAGUAACAUAAGCAUUGCUAUAUGAAAAUUCCACAGAAGCGCAUCAUGCUACAUUAGGGAACGACCAUUUUGUUUUCUAGUUGGGAUGGUGGUUGCAGAAUGAAAAUUAAUCCUCAGAAGAAAAAAGACAUGCAUAGCAACAUGUGAAAAAUAAAAAAUCUGUUCAUAAGAUGGUAUUUUUAUCGACAGUCGAAAUUUGAACUCAGCUAUACAUAUGUUACAGUUUUACAAUUUUUCAAAUUAUUGUAAUGACCUAUAUUAUUGCAUGUGUUUCUCCUGAUUACUUUUUACACCAAAAACGAGAGACAUAUUUGCCACUGGAAGUUAAGCAUACACCAAUCAACCAAUCAGUCGUUUGUUUUUAAAUACCCGUAUAUCAAACUGAGAAGUACAUGUUGUGAAUUUAUUAUCGUGUUUUUUGGCUCAUUUUGACAUUUUGUAAUUAUUAACUCGAACAGAUCUUAUCCAUGUAAAUAUUGUUGGUUUGAAAUUCAGUAACAAAUUUCCUUCAAAGAACUUGAAGGCUAAAAUACACGUUUCGAUGUUUUUUUUUUCUAUAUAAAUAAUUCAUAUUUGAUAUUUUACAACGAUUCACACAAUUUGUAAGGACACUCACCAUCUUGAACAUGAAGAUAUUUUUUUGCAGAGCCCAAAUGAGGUGCCAUAAUAACAUACCUGCCAACUUUUGAAAAUGGUCAUGGGGGUUUUUGUGCGCGGCACCAUUUUUGAGGGUAGAAUUUUUCGCGGCAUUUUUUCGUGUGAUGAUUUUGCUCCUUAAAGUGGCUGACGUACUUCUUUUUUGGGGGGUGAUAGUUGAAGAUGCUAUUAUAACCUAUCUUUUUUUAAUUGUUUGAUUGUUGUAUUCUUUUUUGUUGAGAUAAACACCAGUAAGAUGACUUAUGUUUGUCUGAUACAUUGUCAAGAAAUAAAAAAAAAGUAAUAAUUUUAAUAAUUUAAUAACAAAAAAAAACCAACAAUAUAUGAGGGUCUGGAAUGGGGGGUCUGUGUUCUGUAAACAUUUAAUUUUCACCCCUUUUUUCUCUAAUCUUCAAAAAAUUAACCUCUUUUUUCUCUAAUCUUCAAAAAAUUUGACCACGCAUUUCUCAAAUUUUCAUUUUUUUUUGCCCGUUAUUCCCUUAUCUUCAUUUUUUAAGGGCAUUAUAUUCUCUAAUAAUUUAACCCCAUCCAAACCCUCAUAUAUUAUAUAGAUCAAUAUCACAAGAAGUACUAGAAUGUUUGGAGACAUCAUUAAGGCCACCGUGGUCAACUUUAAAUCUCUGUUGCAAACUUUACAAAAGGCAUGUGACAAUCCUAACGUUGAUUUAGACAACCAGCCCCUGUACUUGACAUCAAUAUUUCCCAUUUCUCUAUUAAAGUAUUUGCACGAAGCAACACGCUUUUUUUUCUUAGGCGGUGACAGAACUAUUUUGCAAGUGAUAACUCGCCCAUCAUGAUUCCAAUCUUUAUAAAUUUAACACCAAGCUAAAAAAAAACUCAAAUUUCGAUUCUUUGAUGUUUACUAUGCGACAUUAAUCAACUGGUGAAUGCGUGAUCACUAAAUUUUGAUUGGAUGAAAUUUGUCAGACACGAUUUGUCUCCCUUGGGAAAACUUUCAAAAGUUCAAAAUCGGGAACAAAAAUAUUUUGCAGAGCCCAUAAUAUAAAUAAACUUUAUGACACAAUACGAAAUCCAACAACAAACCGUAUAGUCCAAUAAAAAGGGCCGAUAUGACAAAAGUGACAUAAUUUAAACGAAAAACAAAAGACUGACAACAACUGAUUAUAUUUACAAGCACUGAAUUACGGGCUCCUGACUUGGGAAAAGCGCAUUUAUAUCCUACCGUAGUCUAAAAUCGUUCAUCUUGUCAGUUCGUUAGGUAUUGUGUUUGAACUUAACACACGGGGAAACUCCGCAUUGACGUCACUACGCUACUUCCGGCGUAGAAAAACAAGUAGAUACGUUUUUUCUGCACUUUUGAAUAAAAAAAACAUUUCUGAAGGUAAGUUUUCAUUGUUGUUCUCAAUUAUUGAUAAAAAAUGCCAAAUUUCUAAUGCCCGUUUCAAUCCCGACCUCCGAAUGUCUAAAAACAUUCUAGAAUUCACAAAAUCCCAUUCCGGCCUCCAUUGCUUUGUGUACAUUCCAUCAGCGUCAUCAAUUUGUGGCAGGAUACAGGUCAAGCAAAUCUUAUUUUUUGGAAUUUAAAAUGACAUGCUCCUUACGUUUUUCGCGAUUUUCCCGCGAAAAAAAGCCCAACCAAAAUGAAAGGAAACUAAUUGAAAAAACUAUGCCCAUGCCAAAUUUGUACAGGAGUAUAGAUAGGUUAAUGAAAAAUAAUUUACAUUUAAUUUUUCAUAGAAUUUUCUUUUUAUUCAUUAUAAAAGAUCGAUAUUCUGACCAUCAUGACUGUAGAUAAAUAUUCAUACAGAAUUCCAUUGAUGUCAAAAAGGGAUGGCAAAAAAAGAGUUCCUGUUGAAUAAAACCCAAAUUUAUUGCAAACUAUUUUGGAGCAAUAUCCCACAAAGAAAUAGCGUAAUUGCCGUAGACUGGAAAAUCCCCUAAUUGACAGUAGAGCAAUUUGAUUGGGUAGAACGAAAUGACAUCACGUGAUUUUGACGCCAUUGAAAUUUAAAUGUAAACAAACAAGGUCAGAAGGUUCAGUAUGGGACAGCAUCGUACAUUUAGUUCUGACAAAUAAUUAUGAGUUCCAAGCUUGACAAUGCAUGGUGAUAAAAAUGAAAGCUAAGUGUACAGAAAAAAUAAGAAAAAAAUAGCCUUAGGAUAACGACUUAUCAUUACACCUGGAUAUGUGACAUAUGUGGUGGGAUAAACAUGUCUGUAGCGGUCAGCCUAAGAUAGUGGUGUAGCAGCACACCAUUAGAACGAAUUGUAAACAUUCGUUGGAUAUGGUUUGACUAAUGAAAUUGACAUUAAGUGUUUUUUUGUAAAAAUCUUAAUUUGAGUUUUUCUCGAGUUGAUCAAAUGUAACAUAUUCUUUUGCGUUGCGAUGACAUAAUGUUAUGUGUUUUUGUUUACGUGAAAAUCAUUUUGUAAAUGCAAAUGCUAAUCUAGGUGCAUAUAAUUUUAUACUUAUAUUAUGUAUUUAAUACCGUUUGAUCGUUUCAUGGCAAAUGAGAUCCUGUUAUUUACUUGAAUUAAAAAAAUAUAAUCCUGAAAAAGGAAUGUGUCAAAUUUGUCCUAACAUCUUUUGUUAUAGGAGCUUAAAUUCAGCCGGCAAUAAUAAAGUCAGUACAGGAUGUUUCAGUUAUAUUGAACGAGUAAAUGUAAUAAUAUUACUUUUUAACGAAAAUCCAAAUCAUAAAAUAAGUAUUACGAAGUACAACACAAGUUGCGCUUUUUAAAAUUAAUGUGACAUUGCCCCAUCAUGGUAGCAAGCUAUGUCGAAAAGUAGAACGAAAUCGAUGAAUAGUCAAGUCAUUAUGUACCAUUUAAUCAGAAUUAUUGCAUACAUAUAAGAUAUUUAAGUUUUGCUGUAAUUAAUCUCUUUUCAAAGAAUAGUGGAAAUCAUAUAUGCCGAGCGGAGCGAGGCUAAAAAGAUUUGAAGGGUUUUGGAGCCGCUGAAGGCCACAAGAAACUAUAGAACUAAUGAUGUAAAAUCUUGCUCUUUAGGUGUUUCCCAGACCCUUUCUUAAUAUGAAAAUGAAAGUUCUGUUUUAAUAUUUUUUUGAUCUCAAAGCAACAUGUACAUGUAUGUAGAUUCAGUGUAAGACUUGCGCUUUUUAGGGACAACAUCAAAAGACCAAUAUGUAGGAUAAAGCAAAACUUUCUGCGUUUUUUUUUUAAAACUCAUGAUCAAGUUAAUAAGAAAAUUACUUAAUUACAAAAGGAAUGCAACACUAACAGAAUACAGAAGGGCAAUCAAUAACAAAAGACAAAUAAAAAAGUAACAUUGAUCCCGAAAAAAACAGGAGAUAUGUCUGAGAGAGUAAUUUAUGGUAACGAAAUCCGUAUCUUGAUAAUUUACCAGUGAUGCAUUGAUUACGUUCGUUAAAAUCUAUGACAUCACUACACACACACGCAUACCGAACGAGUUGGGAUAUAUAAACACCGUAUGAUGGAACCAAAGGUACACACAUGUUUAUCCCCGCCACAUUUGUUAUGUCCCUGUCCCAAGUUAAGACCCUGUAGUUAUGUUAUUUUCGUAGGUUUAUGUCUGUCAUAUUUGUUUUUCGUAAAUUGUUAAGUUAUCAAUAAGUUGGUGUACUGGUUUCAAUUGUUUCAUAAUUUUCAUGUCGCACCUUUAAUAUCGGACUGUAUGGUAUGGAUUUUUCUGAUUGUUGAAGUCCAUAUGGUUGCCUACUGUUAUAAUUGCAUAUCCACUUAGUUUGAACUUUGGUGGAUUGUUGUCUCAUUUAACUUAAUACUACAGCUCCUUAUUUUUAUAAUAUUUAUCAUCAAUCCGUUAUUAAAAUAAGGGGAAUCGACCAUUACCAAGAAUUAUUUAUGAUCAUGUUUUUCAUCCGACUGAAAGAUAUGAAAAAUUGAAGAAUGAUGCAAAUGUCAUUUAUUGGAUGAGUUGCCAGGUCUUGUUAAAAUUGAUAACCAGUUCAGAAGUUUAAUAAAAAAAUAAAAUGUCCACUUUGGUUCGAAAUGAAACAGCAUUUGAGAUGCUUGCUGGUCGACUGAUAUGUACAAAUAUAUAGAGAGGCAAAAAUCUCAAAUGCUGUUUGUCGGUAACUUCGACAUAUAUUACAAGUAAAACAAUUAAAAUAAACGUUUAAUGAAAAAUUAAUAAAAAUUAAACUACAUGGGGGUCAUUCGGUAUACUCCCACUCAGGGGCACCCAAAGGGUACCCUGUCCACAAGUACCUGUGGUAGGAUGAAGAGAUCUUACUUCGGUUCGUUUACAUCUAAAUUGACCAACAACUGACCUACAAUUGGAGUCAUUGCCUUAAAAAACGACAUUUAUUAAAAAAAUAUAUCAUGAGAUUGAAAACAGAAUUAUUUGACAAGAAUUUUUUCAAGGAGUUACGCCCCUUCGAACUUAUUUGUUUCAAUAUACUACUGCAACAGUUUGUCAUCGCAACUCCUCUCAAAUCACACAACAGAAUUUCAUGAAACCUUUUCAUUCUAUGUAUGUAGAUGUGCAUAUCGACAGGAAAUUACGAUUCAAUUUUUUUUCCAGGAGUUACGCUCCUUUGAACUUAUUUGCUUCAAUAUACUACUGCAACAGUUUUUUGUCAUCGCAACUCCUCUCAAACCACACAAGAGAAUUUCAUGAAACCUUUUUAGAUAAUAAGGACAUACAUUGUACUAUGUAGAUGUGCAUAUCGACAGGAAAUUACGAUUCAAUUUUUUUUUCUAGGAGUUACGCUUUUUUGAACCUAUUUGCUUCAAUAUACUACUGCAGCAGUUUGUCAUCGCAACUCCUCUCAUCCCACACAAGAGAAUUUCAUGAAAUUUUUUUAGAUAACAAGGACAUAGUAUUUUGGAGAUGUGCAUAUCGACAGGAAAUUAUGAGUCAAUUUUUUUUCUUUCAGUUAUUUUUUUUUCUCAAGUAACAAUGUGGGGACGUGGGGUAUGUGAGCACGCUAACUAAAAGGUUCUUUACUUGUUUUUUGUUUUCAGUAACAGAACAAACAUGCGGGAAUGACCAGUGUAAAAGUAGGAAAGGAGGCUGUUAUGAUAAUCAAGAGGAGUGGAUGGAGGGGUGUACAAAGAAAAUAUGUAUAGUAGAAGAACAUGGUUGGAGAACAGAAAUAGUCAAGAUACG